rnacentral:rRNA from 1 species
AGAGUUUGAUCCUGGCUCAGGAUGAACGCUGGCGGCGUGCUUAACACAUGCAAGUCGAACGAACCUUCGGGUUAGUGGCGGACGGGUGAGUAACGCGUGAGAAUCUGCCCUCAGGAGGGGGAUAACGGUUGGAAACGACCGCUAAUACCCCAUAUGCCGAGAGGUGAAAUGAAUUUCGCCUGAGGAUGAGCUCGCGUCUGAUUAGUUAGUUGGUGGGGUAAUGGCCUACCAAGACAUCGAUCAGUAGCUGGUCUGAGAGGAUGAUCAGCCACACUGGGACUGAGACACGGCCCAGACUCCUACGGGAGGCAGCAGUGGGGAAUUUUCCGCAAUGGGCGAAAGCCUGACGGAGCAACGCCGCGUGAGGGAUGAAGGCCUCUGGGCUGUAAACCUCUUUUAUCAAGGAAGAAGAUCUGACGGUACUUGAUGAAUAAGCCACGGCUAAUUCCGUGCCAGCAGCCGCGGUAAUACGGGAGUGGCAAGCGUUAUCCGGAAUUAUUGGGCGUAAAGCGUCCGCAGGCGGUCUGUCAAGUCUGCUGUUAAAGCGUGGAGCUUAACUCCAUUUCGGCAGUGGAAACUGACAGACUAGAGUGUGGUAGGGGCAGAGGGAAUUCCCGGUGUAGCGGUGAAAUGCGUAGAUAUCGGGAAGAACACCAGUGGCGAAGGCGCUCUGCUGGGCCAUAACUGACGCUCAUGGACGAAAGCCAGGGGAGCGAAAGGGAUUAGAUACCCCUGUAGUCCUGGCCGUAAACGAUGAACACUAGGUGUCGGGGGAAUCGACCCCCUCGGUGUCGUAGCCAACGCGUUAAGUGUUCCGCCUGGGGAGUACGCACGCAAGUGUGAAACUCAAAGGAAUUGACGGGGGCCCGCACAAGCGGUGGAGUAUGUGGUUUAAUUCGAUGCAACGCGAAGAACCUUACCAGGGUUUGACAUCCUGCGAAUCUCUUGGAAACGAGAGAGUGCCUUCGGGAACGCAGUGACAGGUGGUGCAUGGCUGUCGUCAGCUCGUGUCGUGAGAUGUUGGGUUAAGUCCCGCAACGAGCGCAACCCACGUCGUUAGUUGCCAGCAUUUAGUUGGGCACUCUAGCGAGACCGCCGGUGAUAAACCGGAGGAAGGUGUGGAUGACGUCAAGUCAUCAUGCCCCUUACAUCCUGGGCUACACACGUACUACAAUGCUACGGACAAAGGGCAGCAAACUCGCGAGAGCUAGCAAAUCCCAUAAACCGUGGCUCAGUUCAGAUCGUAGGCUGCAACUCGCCUACGUGAAGGAGGAAUCGCUAGUAAUCGCAGGUCAGCAUACUGCGGUGAAUACGUUCCCGGGCCUUGUACACACCGCCCGUCACACCAUGGAAGUUGGCCACGCCCGAAGCCGUUACUCCAACCCUUGUGGAGGAGGACGUCGAAGGUGGGGCUGAUGACUGGGGUGAAGUCGUAACAAGGUAACC